rnacentral:tRNA from 1 species
CAGGGUGUAGCGAAGUCUGGCAUCGCGCAAGCUCGGGGAGCUUGAGAUCGCAGGUUCGAAUCCUGCCACUCUGA